CUCUGCAUUUUCAUUUUGGUACACCAGCAAAUGAAAUGAACACCUCCCAUCCGGAUUGGGCACCAUCACUGCACUUGGGGUACACGACCAAGACAGUCACCACCACCACCGAGACUUCUCGCUAUGAGACAGGAACAAAGAAAACGACGAAGGACUGAGAGCAUAGCGUCGAUGGAUGAGACACCCCUUGUUACACCAGUGGAGACAACUGGGGGAGCAUCAGCAUCAGCACCUGCAGGCCUAGAGGAUGAAGCUGACCAGGGGGCCGUGUGU